rnacentral:rRNA from 1 species
AUUGAACGCUGGCGGCAGGCCUAACACAUGCAAGUCGAGCGAGCGGCGGACGGGUGAGUAAUGUCUGGGAAACAGCCUGUUGGAGGGGGAUAACUACUGGAAACGGUAGAGAAUACCGCAUACCAUCAGAUGUGCCCAGAUGGGAUUAGCUAGUGGGUGGGGUAACGGCUCACCUAGGCGACGAUCCCUAGCUGGUCUGAGAGGAUGACCAGCCACACUGGAACUGAGACACGGUCCAGACUCCUACGGGAGGCAGCAGUGGGGAAUAUUGCACAAUGGGCGCAAGCCUGAUGCAGCCAUGCCGCGUGUGUGAAGAAGGCCUUCGGGUUGUAAAGCACUUUCAGCGGGGAGGCGUUACCCGCAGAAGAAGCACCGGCUAACUCCGUGCCAGCCGCCGCGGUAAUAC